UACGUAGGGCGCAAGCGUUAUCCGGAAUUAUUGGGCGUAAAGAGCUCGUAGGCGGUUUGUCGCGUCUGCCGUGAAAGUCCGGGGCUCAACUCCGGAUCUGCGGUGGGUACGGGCAGACUAGAGUGAUGUAGGGGAGACUGGAAUUCCUGGUGUAGCGGUGAAAUGCGCAGAGUAUCGGGAGGAACACCGGUGGCGAAGGCGGUUCUCUGGGCCUUUACCUGACGGCUGAGGAGCGAAAGCGUGGGGAGCGAACAGGG
rnacentral:rRNA from 1 species